GGGCACUCUAAUGGGACUGCCGGUGACAAACCGGAGGAAGGUGGGGAUGACGUCAAGUCCUCAUGGCCCUUAUAGGUGGGGCUACACACGUCAUACAAUGGCUGGUACAAAGGGUUGCCAACCCGCGAGGGGGAGCUAAUCCCAUAAAACCAGUCGUAGUCCGGAUCGCAGUCUGCAACUCGACUGCGUGAAGUCGGAAUCGCUAGUAAUCGUGGAUCAGAAUGUCACGGUGAAUACGUUCCCGGGUCUUGUACACACCGCCCGUCACACCAUGGGAGCGGGUUCUGCCAGAAGUAGUUAGCUUAACCGCAAGGAGGGCGAUUACCACGGCAGGGUUCGUGACUGGGGUGAA
rnacentral:rRNA from 1 species